GCUCCCAGCAUAAUAGCACCUUGAAAGCAUCUGAGCCUGGAAUGUAAGCAGGGUGGUUCUGGUGGGGACUUGGACAGGGGGCCAGAUGGGGACCCCAGGGACUGGAGGCU
ensembl:rRNA 5S_rRNA 5S ribosomal RNA